rnacentral:rRNA from 1 species
GAUCAAGCGAAUAAGUGCAUGUGGUGGAUGCCUUGGCGAUUACAGGCGAUGAAGGACGUGCAAGCCCGCGAAAAGCUCUGGGGAGCUGGCAAUGAAGCUUUGAUCCAGAGAUGUCCGAAUGGGGAAACCCACUCCGUAAGGAGUAUCCCUAGCUGAAUACAUAGGCUAGUGGAAGCGAACCCGGUGAACUGAAACAUCUAAGUAGCCGGAGGAAAAGAAAUCAACCGAGAUUCCCAAAGUAGUGGCGAGCGAAAUGGGACCAGCCUGCAAGUGAUAAUGAUUGUGUUAGCGGAAGCUU